rnacentral:lncRNA from 1 species
UCACAUUAGUGAUUUAAAAUUAUAGCCUGGAUAGUAGAGUAAACUAUUUAAGCACUCUUAGUAGAAUAAACAGCAUUAAGAAAAUGAGAUAAUAUAUCUUAAAUUCCCAAGUCUUUAUACAAGCAGAAAGAUAUUAUGAGUUGUGAAAUUUGUAAUGCAGCUCUUGUCCUGUAAUGUUAUUAUGUUCACAUUAGGCAACACCUAUUAAAAAAACAAUAAUAAAAACAAUUAAUUAAUUAAUAUUAUGAGGAGGAAAUCAUGCAUGCAGUCCAUUGAAAUGGUACAUCUCAUAUGUUUUUACAAGGAACUCCAACAAGUUUUGUUCUCCCUAGCGAAAUCUAGAUGAUUAAAAAGACUGGAAAACUUUAUUAAGUGACAUUUUUGGUUUUCUGGGAGAUAGAGGGACUUGCUGGCGAAUGCAAGCAGAGUUAUGUAGGAGGACUGGAAUGUAGGCAGAAAUGGAUAAAACAAUUUACCAACAUUACCAUCAAAGGUUGAACAAUGUAAUGCGGAG